GAUUAACGUUGGCAGUGUGCCUAACACAUGCAAGUUGAGCGACAUAGCAGCCGCCGCCGUAACACAGAUGGCGGCGAGUGGCGGACGGGUGAGUAAUAUGUAGGAAUCUGCCUUGAGGAUGGGGAUAACUUAGGGAAACUUAAGCUAAUACCAAAUAAGCCCUACGGGGGAAAGCAGGGGACCGCAAGGCCUUGCGCCUUAAGAUGAGCCUACAUCGGAUUAGCUUGUUGGUGGGGUAAAGGCCUACCAAGGCGACGAUCCGUAGCUGGUCUGAGAGGAUGAUCAGCCACACUGGGACUGAGACACGGCCCAGACUCCUACGGGAGGCAGCAGUGGGGAAUAUUGGACAAUGGGGGAAACCCUGAUCCAGCAAUGCCGCGUGUGUGAAGAAGGCCUUCGGGUUGUAAAGCACUUUCAGUGGGGAGGAAGGGGUUAAUGUUAAUACCAUUAAUCAUUGACGUUACCUACAGAAGAAGCACCGGCUAACUCUGUGCCAGCAGCCGCCGUAA
rnacentral:rRNA from 1 species